rnacentral:lncRNA from 1 species
AAUUACUGCAAAUUUAGUCUUAAACAACACAAAUUUAUUAUCUUUAAGUUCUGUAGGCUAGAAGGCUGCCAUGAGUCUGGCUGGGCUAAGAUCAAGGUGUGGGCGGGGCUGUGUUCCUUUCUGGAAGCUCUUCCUUGUCUUUUCCAGCUACAGGAGACCACCCACUUUCCUUGGCUUGUGGCCUGCUUCCUCCAUCUUCGCAGCCAGCAACUUUGCGUCUCUGACCAUUCUUCCGUGGUGGCCUUUCCCUCUGACUCUCUUCUGCUUCUCUCUUCUGUUUUCCAGGACCCUUGUGGUUCCAUUGGGCCCACGGGAUAACCCACGACCAUGUCCCUAUUCAGAGUCUGCUCGUUAGCAUCCUUAAUUCCAUCUGCGACCUUAAUUCCCCCUUGCCAAGUGAUGACACACUCACAGGCUCCAGCGAUUAAGACGUGGACAUCUUCGGGGUCCAUAAUUCUGACUCCUUCACCCUUCCUGGAAAGGAUUUGGCUCUGUUCUCACGUGGCAGCCAGGAGAGAGAAGGACCCAACUAACAGCCGGCCACCGUCCCGUCUAAGAGAGGCCUGGGCGGAUGCGGGCAGGAAGCAUCAUUCUGACUGGGCAAGGCAGGACUCUUCACAGGGUUCCAGCUGGACCUUUUGGAAAAGAUAAAAUUUUGUGAGAUCUCAAAGGGUGUGUGUGGGGGGGUGUCAGGUGCAUUCCAGGCGAGGGGACCCACAAAGGCAAAGGCAUGGAAGUCUGUGGAAUGCCAAAUCUUCCAGUGCGGCCGCAGCCUCGGAGGGGUUGUCAGCUGAGCAUUUUUAAUGUUGGAGAGGGGCUUUCCUGCAGAAAAAAGCCACCUCCUGCUGCUGGGUUUAAAUUAAUACUGUAUUUAUUAAACUUGUAAAUUUUUUAAAAACCUAGCUUUUCUUAAACAUCCAAAUGCAACUUGCAAAUCGAGUUUUCUAUUUCUAAAUCUACUAAUUUUGUGUAAAAAUAAGAACAAUUACUCUUACUUAUUCUUUGAUGAAUACUUAAUUAACUCACACGUUCAGAUUAAAUUCUAAAAAUGAAUGCCAAUUACAAACUUGGGUAAUUAAAUUCCCUAAUAGAUUUUAAACUACAUUUUACAGAGUUGAAAUAACUGAUUCUCUCCGACACCUCAACCUCUUAAUAGAAGAGACUUGUACAUCUAAUAAGCAGGUCUUUUUCUUUUCUUUUUUUUCUUUACAAACAGGGAGGGGAUGAGGUGUGAGGAUGGCUUCAACCCCCCCACCUUUCUCCAGCCCCCCCAAGCCAAGCCUGUUUUUUCCUAAUCAGCUAAGCAACUCUUAUACACGAAUAGAUGCAACUUAUAAAUAUGAUAAAUCAGUUCUGUUAAAAAUUCAAACGCUGUUUAUGAACUUAGAUCCUUUUAUGCUGUCUCAGUUGUCUAUUGCCUGGUAAUAAAUCACUGGAAAUUUACUGGCUUAAAAUAACAACCAGGACUCUGAGUCAGCGGCCUGGGCCAGGAUAAGCUGGAAGGUUCAUCUACUGGUCUGGCCGGGGUCACCGCUGUGGCUGCGCUCAUCUCACAACCCAGCUGGGGCUGGGGGCCCAGGGUGGCCUCGCUCACAUGACUGGCAGUGGGUGCUGGCUGUCAGCGGACCCCUCGGUUCUGCUCCACGGGGCCCCGCAU